GAUGAACGCUGGCGGCGUGCCUAACACAUGCAAGUCGAACGAAGCUGCCAUGACAGAGAUUUCGGUCAAUGGAUUGGUAGACUUAGUGGCGGACGGGUGAGUAAUGCGUGAGCAACCUGCCUUUCAGAGGGGGACAACAGUUGGAAACGACUGCUAAUACCGCAUAAUGUACUUCGGGGGCAUCCCUGAGGUACCAAAGGGGCAAUCCGCUGAAAGAUGGGCUCACGUCUGAUUAGCUAGUUGGUGAGGUAAUGGCUCACCAAGGCUGCGAUCAGUAGCCGGACUGAGAGGUUGAACGGCCACAUUGGGACUGAGAUACGGGCCCAGACUCCUACGGGAGGCAGCAGUGGGGAAUAUUGGUC
rnacentral:rRNA from 1 species